rnacentral:rRNA from 1 species
UACGUAGGGUGCAAGCGUGUCCGGAAUUAUUGGGCGUAAAGAGCUCGUAGGCGGUUUGUUGCGUCGGCUGUGAAAUCCCGAGGCUCAACCUCGGGUCUGCAGUCGAUACGAGCAAACUAGAGUGUUGCAGGGGAGACUGGAAUUCCUGGUGUAGCGGUGAAAUGACGGCAGAUAUCAGGAGGAACACCGGUGGGCGAAGGCGGGGUCUCUGGGCAAACAACUGACGCUGGAGGAGCGAAAGCGUGGGGAG